rnacentral:lncRNA from 1 species
UUUUUUUUUUUUUUUGGUUAUCUCUUCUGUGCAGAAAUAAACCCCAGUGAUACCACAGUUGAAGCUGCAUGGUAUAGUAAGCAGUUACCAAAAAUAAGCAUUAAAUACUACUGAAAAAUAUACAAUUUCCAAUAAUAAGAAUUUGGCCCACUUACAGGUUUUUUGUUAUUGUUACACAUUUUUUUUUAAAAUCUGAAUCCUUUUAACAACUUUUCCCUCUUUUUCCCUACAUGUUGCUAAUGGAAGAGCGUUAAUGGCCACAAAAAUUAAUUAUGUCUUGAUGUUCAGGACAAAUUUGUGGGUUUUGCCAAAAUGCCUCAGUUAUUAUAUUUCACAAUUACAGUAUUUGAGGGGUAGAUUGAAAAUAUGUAACUUUUGGACAAAGCCAGAAUAAAAUCAAAACCCAGAAGUGUUUCCAAAUCUUUAUAAUAAUCUGUAGACAAACAUCAUCAGCACCAGAAAUAACUCUGUUGGGAAAUAUAACUGUAUUCAGGCAAGAUACAGUGUCUCUGGCUCACAGGUUCUACUUGAGCUUCUAAAAACAAAAAUGCAGCAAAUAAUCCACAGGACCAACUGUCUUCCCAUCUCUACAACAGAUAACAAGAAAGUGACUGAUUAAUUUCUUGGGACACUGGUGUCUGGGAACUUUUCAGGGUCAAUUUUUACUAUCUAUCCCUAAAAGGGAAGAAACAGACACAUAAAUAUUAUUAUAGUUGUUGAGCUCCCUUUAUGUAAAUUAGAGCAAAUCUUAUUUUUAGGGUUCUGGGUAGCUCAGCAGUUUAGUGACUGCCUUCGGCCCAGGGCAUAAUCGUGGAGUCCCAGGAUCAAGUCCCACAUCGGGCUCCCUGCAUGGAGCCUGCUUCUCCCUCUGCCUGUGUCUCUGCCUCUUUCUCUCUCUGUGUCUCUUAAGAAUAAAUAAAUAAACUCUUUAAAAAAUAAACAAACCAGAACUUAAAAAAAAUCUUAGUUUUAGUUUUUGAAGGCACUCUUUUGACAAUAAUAACUUCAGCCUCUCACUAAAUAAGUGAAACCUACUUCAUAGAAUUAUUUUAUAACCCUUGAUAAAAGGGAAGGAAGAGUGACUUCUAAAACUCUGAAAUAAUCGCAGGCUUUACACAAUUUUGGUGAAUCUCAAAUUAGAGGAAAAAAGAAGUGUCAUAAAAGAAAGAUUCAGUUUCCCAGAUGAAUUAGGCAGUAUUGUGGAAUCUUAAAAUCUGAUAUAGUACAUUUGCCCUCCCUAAAAGUUGUUCAACACAUUUUUCUACAAAACAGAUUUAUAGCAUCCAUUUUCACUCUGAUUUCCUGUUUCUCUGUCCAUUCACCAAGCAAGUAUUUGGAAGCCUAAAAUGGCUAUGUGGAGUGUUUUAAGAGUUGACCUAGGAAGUGAGCACCCCUUGGGGAGCAAUUUGAUUGGUUAAUACUAGUUCUGAGCCCAGUAUGUGAAUCUUUAUGACUGCACAGCUUCAGCAAUGAAUUACUUGACCUCAACUUUCUCCAUAGGGGUGCACACCUUAAUUUUCCACACUAAUUUUCAAAUAGAAUUACAAAAACACUUUACUUAUCUAGAGGUCAACUAUUCGACAAACCCCACUACUUGGAAUGCAGACAAAAAGCAAGCAAAAAAAGUAUCUGUGCAGCCAAAAAUGAUGUCAUAAAACCCAUAGAUUUUCCCCAUUGGAGAGUGGCUAUUCAUUGACAGCAAAGUUACCUUGAUUUCAUUACCAAUUCUGAUCACUAUACUGAUGUUUUUGAGCCUACAGCCGAUGAGAAGAAACACAUCAUGAGGGAGAAAGAGGGACGAAGAGAGAAAAUAAGCCUAGAACAAUAUGACAUAAAAAAAGAUACUAAUUCAAAAAUCACAGGAAAAGGACAAACAACUGUAUGCCUCCAAAGGCCAUGAGGACAUCACUUAUUAUAUAAAAGAAACAAUAAUUAACAUGCCUAAUGAUUAUGGAAACAGACAAUGUUUCAUUUUCUUCAAUCCACAUAAAUGAAGAAACCCAGAUAGGUCUUUAAGUCAUUUGAUAAAGUUCCAUGAAAUAAAGAAAACAUUUCUAAAGGAUUAGCACUUAGAAGGGUAAGCUCUGGUCACUUACCUACCAUCUAUUACUGAUCAAUUGAUCAAUCUAUAUACCACUGUCGCCUUUAUGAAAUAGCUCAUUCCCUCUGAACAAAAUAUUUUCAGAUGCCAAAAGCCAAACUAAUUGCAGAAGAUCAAUUAUUCAAUUUCAGAAAGGGUAUAUAUGCAGCACUGGAUGAUCUUACGGACAAGUAACAAAAUGCUUUGGAGCUCAAAGUUGGAAAUCUGCCUUUAAAAAAAAAAAAAAAACAAAACAGAAGCAUCUUCUCCUCCAAAGAAGGCCUUUUAUCCAUGAACCACAGGAACUUGACACAAUCUGCAGGAGUUGAUGAUAGGCUGAUAUUCAGCAGGUGGGAACAGGAAUAUGGAACCAGAGCCAAGCUGAGCUUUCCAGGAGAGGAAGGUGCCCUCUUUUGAUGCUGUUCAAUGCUUGGAUGUGGAAAGCAAAGCAAAGCAAAGCAAGCAAGCAAGAAGUAUGGGAGAGUGAGCACAUGCUGCUGGCGUUGGAGCAGUAGGCUCCAAGCUGGCCCACUCAGGAUGUGAAAGCGGCACUCUGAGUAUCCAUGCAGGCAUGGCAGGCACGGAGGAGGACAAUCCCAGGCACACUGGAAUCCAUGGUCACCCUAGUUUUAAGGAGCAGGGUGAAAAUCACCAUCCUAAUUAAUUGUCCACGAAACCAUUCUUGAGCUAGAGGGUAGUGUGAAAAUAUGAGCAGGUGGGUUUUCCUUAGGAUACUCAGAAGAAAUGCUCUCCUCAGUUCCUAUGGCCUUUUAUUCACUCUCUCUGUUCCCCUCAGUUGUAGCUACUACAACACAUUACAAUUCUUAGUACAGCCUCUCUUCCCUGUUGGAUUAUACACUUGUAAGAGCAGGGUAAUCUCCCUCACUUGAGAUCUUUAACUCUUGCCUCUUGCCAUAGAAGGUAACAUUCUCAUGUUCCAGGGACUAUUGUUCGGCCUAUCACAGCAAGGUAUCAGGUAAAAAAAAAAAAAAAAAUCCAGAUUACAAAAUGGGAAAUUAGAAUUUGGAUUCUCGCUCAGUCACUCACUCUAAAAGCCACAUGGGCCAAUCCCCUAGCCUACACUUAAACACAGCAUUCCUGCUAAGCGCCCACCCACUGUCUACUUCCACUGAACACUUGUGAGGCUUGCCAUCUUGCCAGGAAGAUCAACGCUCUCCCUGCCUCUGUCUCUUUCCUCUGCUGCUCCAAGUGUAAGAAAAUUUGGCCUUGUUUCGAGCCCAGUCCCCUUCCCAUAACAUCUAUGGACCUACGAGGGCAUAUCCUUCUGUAAGUUAACUACCGUAUCUGAGACUUCUCAUGAACAUGCCCAGCGCAGGACACGAUUUCAAGAUCCUCAUUCUGCUGGUUGAUCUUUCCUUGAAGAACAAGUCAUCACACCCACUUCCCCAUCUAGAUAUGCCAAAAAGGAGUCUAAUGUUUGUUGGGAUGCCUGAUUAGGUGUUUACAGGAGAAAAGGUACUAUGAAUGUAUCACCAGCAGCAUCAACCACAACACGACGGCAUCUGGAUUGCAAUAUUGUAAAUACACUAUGGGAAAGUAAAUCCAGCACGGUGUCCAUAGCCAGUAUUUUUUGAAAAACACCAUUUGGUGUUGAUACCUUGAACAUACCCGCUUUCUAAAAACGGUGAUAGGAAGAUGGGUGGGUGGGUCUGCAAGGUCUUUAAAAUGUGUCGGUAGUGGUCAUCUAGCCAUCCCGAUAAACUGAACAGACUCUCGGGUGCCUUUUCCCGCUGGUCAAAGGGUAACUGUCACAAAGUGGCCUAGAGAAAUUGAAACAUCCUGAUGGUGUUCAUAGAGAUUGAGAGUCUGUGGGGCCAUUGGGGAUCCUAGGAAGUUCCUAAAGGGUUGUCCGGGAAGAGGAGCAGUCUAGAUUCCUGCAGACUGACAGCCACGAUCCCUCCAGGAGCAGCUGUGCAAAAUUCUGAGAAAUAGGCUGUUAAGCAGCUUGGGGCCAUUGCCUCUGGGCUCUCAUCUGCUGAACAGAAAGAAAAAAAGCCCAAACUUGAGCUGGAAAGCACUCCCUGGGUAAUAUUCAGCUUGGCUCUCUGCCCCUUGAUACUCCUUCUUCACUUCCUCGGAGCUUGGGAGCCUGGGAUCCUCCUGCGCAGAACGGGACUCAGAAGACACAGGGCCGGCCCAGCGCUCACUGCGUGCCUCAGGCCCACUCACAUGCUCUGUGUUGCCCUGCAACCUAGCAGUCAAGUUUUUUGAGAAGUAGCCUCUACCUUCUUCCCUGAGACUCAGUUCUGCCCCUAAAACCAUCCUGGCAGCCUUGUCCUUCCAGGAUAUGGAAAAAUCAACGAGGCCGUCUUGCUCUUGCCUUUUUCUUCCUUAUGCCAGGAGCUGAGUUCUAAAUACCAACCCUUGCUAAGCAGGAUUUAUCUGAGGUCCACUGGGUACUGUCUGCUAGGAUGCUGUGAUGUUCCCUGAGCCCACAAUCUCAGUGUGUAUUUUGUCUGCACCUUGCCAUCUCUUGGGAAACAGGGCACCAUGUUUACCAGUUAUCACGCCCCACCUGAUGUGCUGGCAUUCUCUCCAUGGCCAGCAGGCAGGUUGUCCCCUGCCAUCCCUCUGGCCCACACCAGCAUGUCUCUUCAGUUCUGAGCCCUCACAUAACUGGGCUGGUCCUUCCUGCUAGGUGAACAACUCUGCCUCUCCCAGGAUUAUAACACCCAAAGAGUCCCACAAGUGAUUUUUGAAAAAUACUCCACUGAGAUAGUUUUUGGAGAGCCAAGGCUUCGAAAUACCAUCCAGUUUUCUUUUAUAUCACAUGAUUUCAUUCUAUAGCAUACCUUUUGCAUAUAAAAGCAUAUGAGGAGGGUUUUUUUUUCCAAGUACAGGAAUUAAUAUUAGAGAAGUCUAUGAAGAGACCACCUAUGUUAUUAGUGAGAAAAACAAAUUAGGACAUUAAUUCCUACUAGUCUAUUUGGUUUUAGUCCUGUAGUUUAGGUAAACUUUUAUCUUUUUUUGUAAAAAUAGAGAUUUAAAGGUUGUAAGUCACUGGAACAUUUUCAAAAGCUCCUAAUUAAUAGUAGAUGUCUAAACAUUUCUUACAUUAGAUGUAGAACUAUUGCUGUUGUGUAAUCAUCAUCAUUAGAACAAGAUCUCCUUAUGAAUGGACUCCAGUUUUUCUACUGACACUACUACCUAUAAUCCAUCGCCUCUGUCCCACAUUAUAAAAUUUCCCAUGGCACGUAUAUAGCAAUAGCAAUAACUGACACUUAUAAUAUUUGGCAGGAAAUUUGAAAAUAUGUCACACAAACACAGAAACACAUCAAGGUUCAUAUAAGGCCGGAUAGGAUUGGGCUGCUUAUCUUAAACAUACAUGUAUCCAGUAAAGACUAAAACUGGUUGCUUUUCAAAUUAUCCAGAAGUUCUUUAAAUUUAUCUUAAUAGGGUAUUGUAGGGAAAAAUUAAUUCAAAGGUUUGAUUAUUACUAACAUACUGAGAUUCAUAUUUUUUAUUAGAAAACAAAAAUAAAUUGCCAUUGGGGUUUGCAGGAAUUUGGAUUUGGAUGA